AUACAUAUAAGGCUCACGACUUUAUUACACAAACAAUUUUCCAAUAUCUUCUUUCGGAUACUGUUCGUUUUUAGUUCUUUCUUUUCUCUACACUAACCUUCAUAAUCUAUAAAUUUUUUUUGGCAACUUUAGAUGUGUCAAUGCAAAAUUAUGAACAAAAUACAUAUAACAUUCUUAUACUUACUGGAGGUCUUAUAACUUCAAGUGUCAAAAAGUAUGCAAU